rnacentral:tRNA from 1 species
GUAGUCAUGGCCGAGUGGUCUAAGGCGCUAGAUUUAGGCUCUAGUCUUCGUUGGCGUGGGUUCGAAUCCCACUGACUACA